GACGAGCGCUGGCGGCGUGCUUAACACAUGCAAGUCGAACGGAAAGGCCCUGCUUUUGUGGGGUGCUCGAGUGGCGAACGGGUGAGUAACACGUGAGUAACCUGCCCUUGACUUUGGGAUAACUUCAGGAAACUGGGGCUAAUACCGGAUAGGAGCUCCUGCUGCAUGGUGGGGGUUGGAAAGUUUCGGCGGUUGGGGAUGGACUCGCGGCUUAUCAGCUUGUUGGUGGGGUAGUGGCUUACCAAGGCUUUGACGGGUAGCCGGCCUGAGAGGGUGACCGGCCACAUUGGGACUGAGAUACGGCCCAGACUCCUACGGGAGGCAGCAGUGGGGAAUAUUGCACAAUGGGCGGAAGCCUGAUGCAGCAACGCCGCGUGCGGGAUGACGGCCUUCGGGUUGUAAACCGCUUUCGCCUGUGACGAAGCGUGAGUGACGGUAAUGGGUAAAGAAGCACCGACUAACUACGUG
rnacentral:rRNA from 1 species